rnacentral:rRNA from 1 species
UACGGAGGAUCCAAGCGUUAUCCGGAUUCAUUGGGUUUAAAGGGUGCGUAGGCGGAAUGAUAAGUCAGUGGUGAAAUCCUGCAGCUUAACUGCAGAACUGCCAUUGAUACUGUCAAUCUUGAGUACAUUUGAUGUGGGCGGAAUGUGUCAUGUAGCGGUGAAAUGCUUAGAUAUGACACAGAACACCGAUUGCGAAGGCAGCUCACAAACUGUAACUGACGCUGAGGCACGAAAGCGUGGGUAUCAAACGGG